rnacentral:rRNA from 1 species
UUCUGUUUGAUCCCGGCGGAGGCUACUGCUAUUGGGAUUCGAUUAAGCCAUGCAAGUUGAAUGAAUUUAGAUUCAUGGCGUACGGCUCAGUAACACGUGGAUAACUUACCCUUAGGACUGGGAUAACUCUGGGAAACUGGGGAUAAUACUGGAUAUUAGGCUAUGCCUGGAAUGGUUUGCCUUUGAAAUGUUUUUUCGCCUAAGGAUAGAUCUGCGGCUGAUUAGGUCGUUGGUGGGGUAAUGGCCCACCAAGCCGAUGAUCGGUACGGGUUGUGAGAGCAAGAGCCCGGAGAUGGAACCUGAGACAAGGUUCCAGACCCUACGGGGUGCAGCAGGCGCGAAACCUCCGCAAUGUACGAAAGUGCGACGGGGGGAUCCCAAGUGUCAUGCUUUUUUGUAUGACUUUUCAUUAGUGUAAAAAGCUUUUAGAAUAAGAGCUGGGCAAGACCGGUGCCAGCCGCCGCGGUAACACCGGCAGCUCAAGUGGUAGCUGUUUUUAUUGGGCCUAAAGCGUUCGUAGCCGGUUUGAUAAGUCUUUGGUGAAAGCUUAUGGCUUAACUGUAAGAAUUGCUGAAGAUACUGUCAGACUUGAAGUCGGGAGAGGUUAGAGGUACUACCGGGGUAGGGGUGAAAUCCUAUAAUCCUGGGAGGACCACCUGUGGCGAAGGCGUC